GUGGUAAAGGAACUCAAGAACAGCUGUCGAAAAUGUGGCAUGGUUAACCCUCUAACAAAAAGUACCAUCUGUGGGCACUGCAGUCUGGUUAUGCAGAUGUGCCCCAGUACAAAGCCCAAGGAAGAGAAAAUGGGUUGGCGUUACUGAGGUUAACGGGUCUGAAAGCAGACAGCAUAUUUUCUUCAAUAGAAGGAGCACUCUGCUACAGAAGGGGACAAUUUGUAACAUUUAUAAAUCAUUACUGAACCUCUAAUGCACCUCUAAAUACCUGCAUUCAUGUUUUUAAAGUUUCUUUAACAGUAAGUAGAUCAAUUACAGAGGACUAC
rnacentral:lncRNA from 1 species